rnacentral:rRNA from 1 species
GACAGAGGGGGCAAGCGUUGCUCGGAAUCACUGGGCGUAAAGGGCGCGUAGGCGGGAUGGCAAGUCGGUCGUGAAAUCUCUCGGCUCAACCGAGAAACGUCGGCCGAUACUGCCGUUCUUGAGGGAUGCAGAGGAGGCUGGAAUUCCCGGUGUAGCGGUGAAAUGUGUAGAGAUCGGGAGGAACACCGGUGGCGAAGGCGGGUCUCUGGGCAUUUCCUGACGCUGAGGCGCGAAAGCGUGGGGAGCAAACGGG